UGGCCGCUCGUUCAAGAUACCGGAGUAUGUUGUUGUCAUAAUGUGCGGGAAUAGAACGAUUAUUCAUUACCAGCCCUAGUUUGGGGAAAUGUGUCCUUGUACCCUUGUAUGCAUGACAGUAGUACAAACAUGAAUAACAUUGCUGCUUUUGGUUUUCAGGCAAGCACAUCUGUUCACGGUGCUAGGCUACAUCACGUAGCAUGCCAGACGGACCCACCAAAGAUGCGCACACAUGGAACGCAGCCUUCUAUGAAAACACUGCGACCUCACUACAAAAGUACAGGCACACAGAAAACUGUGCUGCACUGAUGUCGGUGUUGGGACCUCAGCUGUAAGAGACCUCGCUUGGAGGAGGGAGAGGACAAGAUGUGACAAUGGAAUCUUCCAACCCUGUUCAUAAGACACCCACAUAUAUUGUCUAUGAAAACUGCCUCCUGGAGCUGUUUGAGGUGUGUCCUGUGUGUCGGCUGGGGACAGAUGUAAUAUAUAAGAAGGGCGAGUGCAC